GUUCUAAACUGCCAACAGCUCAAUAGAUGGAGUUGCAGUCUCUGUCUGUCGUUUAAGCUGGCUUUCUGAACCAUCCACACAUCUCAGCAAUGGCCCUGAGCAUGUACUUCAUCAACUGAGCUAUCUCCUCAACAAAUUCUGCAAUUUACUGGAUGUUAGCCAAUGGUGAGCUGCGUGUGGACUCUCACCUGCCUGAUACAUCUGAAGGAAGCAUCAACCACACUGGCGAGAACGCAAGAGCCACACACAGAGCAGCACAGAGACUGUCUGCAGCCUCGUUUUGAAAAGUCAAGAUUAAUUGCAUUGCCUGCCUCAUCAAACCUGCCAACAAGCAGCCAGUCAGCCUGAAGCAUGUCUCCCGUUUGUCCCGGUAAUUAUGCAGAACUACUCGUGAGCAGUGAAUAGACUCCAAGGCCCAGAGUAAUCCACAGCCCUUAAGAAUCUGUCCUAGAAAAACCUCAAGAGCAGAUGACAAAGCCCUACGAAUCCACACUGUGGACAGAACCAUGCACAACAUCAGAGCUGGCUAAUCUACAGCCAAGAUGAAGCAGUCACACACCAGCUCAUUCCUCAAGAAAAAAGCACAGGACUCCCAGUCUGUCAUAAUCAAAUGCAGCAAACUCUGUGAUUUAUUGGAAUAGACAAAUAAAUAAA